UACGUAGGGAGCAAGCGUUGUUCGGAUUUACUGGGCGUAAAGAGCGCGCAGGCGGUCGUCCAAGUCGCGUGUGAAAGCCCCCGGCUCAACUGGGGAGGGUCACGCGAUACUGGUCGACUCGAAGGCAGGAGAGGGUAGUGGAAUUCCCGGUGUAGUGGUGAAAUGCGUAGAUAUCGGGAGGAACACCAGUGGCGAAGGCGACUACCUGGCCUGUUCUUGACGCUGAGGCGCGAAAGCUAGGGGAGCAAACGGGG
rnacentral:rRNA from 1 species